rnacentral:rRNA from 1 species
AUUGAACGCUGGCGGCAGGCCUAACACAUGCAAGUCGAGCGGAUGAAGGGAGCUUGCUCCUGGAUUCAGCGGCGGACGGGUGAGUAAUGCCUAGGAAUCUGCCUGGUAGUGGGGGAUAACGUCCGGAAACGGGCGCUAAUACCGCAUACGUCCUGAGGGUGAAAGUGGGGGUUCUUCGGACCUCACGCUAUCAGAUGAGCCUAGGUCGGAUUAGCUAGUUGGUGGGGUAAAGGCCUACCAAGGCGACGAUCCGUAACUGGUCUGAGAGGAUGAUCAGUCACACUGGAACUGAGACACGGUCCAGACUCCUACGGGAGGCAGCAGUGGGGAAUAUUGGACAAUGGGCGAAAGCCUGAUCCAGCCAUGUCGCGUGUGUGAAGAAGGUCUUCGGAUUGUAAAGCACUUUAAGUUGGGAGGAAGGGCAGUAAGUUAAUACCUUGCUGUUUUGACGUUACCAACAGAAUAAGCACCGGCUAACUUCGUG